AGGUGAACGAGGCAUGGAACGGUCGACCCAUCUGGGGCAAGCCCCACGACUCGAUUGA
rnacentral:ribozyme from 12 species